rnacentral:rRNA from 1 species
CGGUGUUUAACUGGCGUGAUGUGGGACGUCCUACCGGUGGGCUUAGCCUCGCGAGGGGCGGCCCAACUAAUAUCCCGUCGCGGUGCUCUUUACUGAGUGUCGAGUCGGGCCGGUACGUUUACUUUGAACAAAUUAGAGUGCUUAAAGCAGGCUAUCCUCGCCUGAAUACUGCGUGCAUGGAAUAAUGGAAUAGGACCUCGGUUCUAUUUUGUUGGUUUUCGGAACCCCGAGGUAAUGAUUAAUAGGGACAGAUGGGGGCAUUCGUAUUGCGACGUUAGAGGUGAAAUUCUUGGAUCGUCGCAAGACGGACAGAAGCGAAAGCAUUUGCCAAAAAUGUUUUCAUUAAUCAAGAACGAAAGUUAGAGGUUCGAAGGCGAUCAGAUACCGCCCUAGUUCUAACCAUAAACGAUGCCAGCUAGCGAUCCGCCGAAGUUCCUCCGAUGACUCGGCGGGCAGCUUCCGGGAAACCAAAGCUUUUGGGUUCCGGGGGAAGUAUGGUUGCAAAGCUGAAACUUAAAGGAAUUGACGGAAGGGCACCACCAGGAGUGGAGCCUGCGGCUUAAUUUGACUCAACACGGGAAACCUCACCAGGCCCAGACACCGGGAAGGAUUGACAGAUUGAUAGCUCUUUCUUGAUUCGGUGGGUGGUGGUGCAUGGCCGUUUUUAGUUGGUGGAGCGAUUUGUCUGGUUAAUUCUGAUAACGAACGAGACUCUAGCCUGCUAAAUAGGCGUACCUUAUGGUAUCGCGAAGGCCCCCGGCUUCGGCCGGUGGGUUUUUACUACCAACGUACAAACAAAUCUUCUAGAGGGACAGGCGG